AAAUUGAAGAGUUUGAUCAUGGCUCAGAUUGAACGCUGGCGGCAGGCCUAACACAUGCAAGUCGAGCGGAAACGAGUUAUCAGAACCUUCGGGGAACGACAACGGCGUCGAGCGGCGGACGGGUGAGUAAUGCCUAGGAAAUUGCCCUGAUGUGGGGGAUAACCAUUGGAAACGAUGGCUAAUACCGCAUGAUGCCUACGGGCCAAAGAGGGGGACCUUCGGGCCUCUC
rnacentral:rRNA from 1 species